UAUACAGAUAUAAACCACUGUAC
rnacentral:snRNA from 1 species